rnacentral:rRNA from 1 species
CCUACGGGAGGCAGCAGUAAGGAAUAUUGGUCAAUGGAGGCAACUCUGAACCAGCCAUGCCGCGUGCAGGAAGACAGCCCUAUGGGUCGUAAACUGCUUUUAUACGGGAAUAAACUUUGAUUCGUGAAUCAAGCUGAAUGUACCGUAAGAAUAAGGAUCGGCUAACUCCGUGCCAGCAGCCGCGGUAAUACGGAGGAUCCAAGCGUUAUCCGGAUUUAUUGGGUUUAAAGGGAGCGUAGGCGGCCUAUUAAGUCAGGGGUGAAAGACGGUGGCUCAACCAUCGCAGUGCCUUUGAUACUGAUGGGCUUGAAUAUAGUUGAGGUAGGCGGAAUGUGACAAGUAGCGGUGAAAUGCAUAGAUAUGUCACAGAACACCGAUUGCGAAGGCAGCUUACUAAGCUAUGAUUGACGCUGAGGCUCGAAAGCGUGGGGAUCAAACAGGAUUAGAUACCCUGGUAGUCCACGCCCUAAACGAUGAUAACUCGAUGUUGGCGAUAUACAGUCAGCGUCCAAGCGAAAGCGUUAAGUUAUCCACCUGGGGAGUACGCCCGCAAGGGUGAAACGUUAAAUGAAAUUGACGGCUGAGAGNGCGAGGACGACGACGAGGGAGAGG